rnacentral:rRNA from 1 species
GCGUGCCUAAUACAUGCAAGUCGAACGAUAACAGUCCAUCUAGAUCGGAAACUAGUGGCAGACGGGUGAGGAACGCCUAGAAAUGUGCCCUCUAGCGGGGGAUACCGGGGUGGAAAGAAUGUCUAAUACCGCAUAACGUCUUUGGAAGGCCUCGCUUAGGGAGGAAGUGUGGCGCGGCGGGAGCGGCCUCCGUAACAUCAGCUAGUUGGUGGGGUAAUGGCCCACCAAGCCUAUGAUGGUUAACUGGUCUGAGAGGACGACCAGUCAGACUGGAACUGAGACACGGCCCAGACUCCUACGGGAGGCAGCAGUGAGGAAUAUUCCACAAUGGGCGCAAGCCUGAGGGAGCAAGGCCGCGUGAAGGAUGAAGGAUCUCGGGUCGUAAACUCCUUUCAGUAGGGAAGAAUAUGACGGUACCUCCUGAAUAAGCAUCGGCUAACUACGUCCAGCAGCCGCGGUAAUACAUUAGGAAGCCAAGCCGUUGUUCCGGAAUUUACUGGGCGUA